rnacentral:rRNA from 1 species
CUACGGGUGGCAGCAGUGGGGAAUAUUGCACAAUGGGCGCAAGCCUGAUGCAGCCAUGCCGCGUGUAUGAAGAAGGCCUUCGGGUUGUAAAGUACUUUCAGCGGGGAGGAAGGGAGUAAAGUUAAUACCUUUGCUCAUUGACGUUACCCGCAGAAGAAGCACCGGCUAACUCCGUGCCAGCAGCCGCGGUAAUACGGAGGGGGCAAGCGUUAAGCGGAAUUACUGGGCGUAAAGCGCACGCAGGCGGUUUGUUAAGUCAGAUGUGAAAUCCCCGGGCUCAACCUGGGAACUGCAUCUGAUACUGGCAAGCUUGAGUCUCGUAGAGGGGGGUAGAAUUCCAGGUGUAGCGGUGAAAUGCGUAGAGAUCUGGAGGAAUACCGGUGGCGAAGGCGGCCCCCUGGACGAAGACUGACGCUCAGGUGCGAAAGCGUGGGGAGCAAACAGGAUUAGAUACCCUAGUAGUC